AUGUGGGACUUCGCUUUACACCAACAUGCUUUCAUUCACCAAAGACCCAAAAGAAAUUUUGUAUACAAUUGAAACCUUGCAUGUGUAAAAGAGUUAGGUUGAGAGUUGAGAGUCAAACUUACCAAAAAUACGCACUCACUUUUGGAGACACAAGCAUGUUAAACCUGCUUAAAUACAGGGGAACUCACUUAGCAGGCUAACAGAGGGAAGAAAGAAUAAUGUGGGAACUACAAUAAGAAAAGGUCAUUAACCCAGUGUUACCCCUAAUAAUCGAGGUUGUUGGGAGGCUUAGACUGGGUACAAACUUAACCAUUAGCAUAAUUUGCAGAAAGUGACUACCUUCAAACUCAAACCUGUAUUCCCAAACUUGGAGACUGAGCUUUUACCAUUGCAAGCAAACAGUGUAAUGUGACAGAAGCUGAUACAAAAUCGUAGCCACCUAAUCCACUAUCCACCAAAGCCUAUCUUCUCCAACAGGUAAAACAAAAACUCACAAUCCACAUUAUCAUAGGCCUUCUCAGUAUCUAACUUACACAUAAAAUAUAAAUAUAUGUGCUACAUACAUUUCAGAAAACUCAUUCCCAUUCAGUUUAUUUUCUUUUUAAUACUAAAAAGGAAAAAAAUGAAUUUUUUAACCCAAAAAAAAAAAAAAAAAAAAAA